rnacentral:rRNA from 1 species
ACGCUGGCGGCGUGCUUAAACAUGCAAGUCGCGUGCGCGGUUCCGUAGCAAUACGGGAUGGGCGCACGGCGCACGGGUGCGUAACACGUGGGCAAUCUGCCCUCCGAUGGGGAAUAACCCCGCGAAAGCGGGGCUAAUACCGCAUAACAUUCCUUGGACUACGGUUUGAGGAUUCAAAGCAGCAAUGCGUCGGAGGAGGAGCCCGCGCCCGAUUAGCUAGUUGGUGAGGUAACGGCUCACCAAGGCAAUGAUCGGUAGCUGGUCUGAGAGGAUGGCCAGCCACACUGGAACUGAGACACGGUCCAGACUCCUACGGGAGGCAGCAGUGGGGAAUCUUGCGCAAUGGGCGAAAGCCUGACGCAGCGACGCCGCGUGGGGGAUGAAGCUUCUCGGAGUGUAAACCCCUUUCGACUGGGACGAAUGCCCGCAAGGGAGUGACGGUACCAGUAGAAGAAGCCCCGGCUAACUACGUGCCAGCAGCCGCGGUAAGACGUAGGGGGCCAGCGUCGUUCGGAAUUACUGGGUGUAAAGGGUUCGUAGGCGGUGUGGCAAGUCGGGAGUGAAAUCUCUGGGCUCAACUCAGAGGCUGCUUCCGAAACUGCUGUGCUUGA